GACAGAGGAGCCAAGCGUUGUCCGGAAUUACUGGGCGUAAAGAGCUCGUAGGUGGUUUGUCGCGUUGUUCGUGAAAACUCACAGCUCAACUGUGGGCGUGCGGGCGAUACGGGCAGACUUGAGUACUGCAGGGGAGACUGGAAGUUCCUGGUGUAGCGGUGGAAUGCGCAGAUAUCAGGAGGAACACCGGUGGCGAAGGCGGGUCUCUGGGCAGUAACUGACGCUGAGGAGCGAAAGCGUGGGGAGCGAACAGG
rnacentral:rRNA from 1 species